AAAUCUGGUUGAUCCUGCCAGAGGCGACCGCUAUUGGAGUUCGAUUAAGCCAUGCGAGUAGAAAGAAAUUAGAUUCUUUGCAUACUGCUCAGUAACACGUGGAUAACCUGCCCUACACUGGGGGAUAAUCUCGGGAAACUGAGGAUAAUACCCCAUAGACCACUACGCCUGGAACGGUGAGUGGUUGAAAGCUCCGGCGGUGUAGGAUGGGUCUGCGGCGUAUCAGGUCGUAGGGGGUGUAAUGGACCUCCUAGCCAUCGACGCGUACGGGUUGUGGGAGCAAUAGCCCGGAGACGGAUUCUGAGACACGAAUCCGGACCCUACGGGGUGCAGCAGGCGCGAAAACUUCACACUGCAGGAAACUGUGAUGAGGGAACUCCAAGUGACUGCACAAUGUGUAGUCUUUUCUUGAAUCUUAAUAGUUCUUGGAAUAAGGGCUGGGAAAGACCGGUGCCAGCCGCCGCGGUAAUACCGGCAGCUCAAGUGGUCGUCGCUUUUAUUGGGCCUAAAACGUCCGUAGCCUGUUUGGUAAAUCUGUGGGUAAAUCAAC
rnacentral:rRNA from 1 species